CACUCCUGCGGGAGGCAGCAGUGGGGAAUUUUGGACAAUGGGCGAAAGCCUGAUCCAGCAAUGCCGCGUGUGUGAAGAAGGCCUUCGGGUUGUAAAGCACUUUUGUCCGGAAAGAAAUCCUUGGCUCUAAUACAGUCGGGGGAUGACGGUACCGGAAGAAUAAGCACCGGCUAACUACGUGCCAGCAGCCGCGGUAAUACGUAGGGUGCGAGCGUUAAUCGGAAUUACUGGGCGUAAAGCGUGCGCAGGCGGUUUGCUAAGACCGAUGUGAAAUCCCCGGGCUCAACCUGGGAACUGCAUUGGUGACUGGCAGGCUAGAGUAUGGCAGAGGGGGGUAGAAUUCCACGUGUAGCAGUGAAAUGCGUAGAGAUGUGGAGGAAUACCGAUGGCGAAGGCAGCCCCCUGGGCCAAUACUGACGCUCAUGCACGAAAGCGUGGGGAGCAAACAGGAUUAGAUACCCCGGUAGUCCC
rnacentral:rRNA from 1 species